GGUCACGUGGCCUAAUGGCUAUGGCACUGGUCUUCGGAACCAGAAGUUGGGGGUUCGAGUCCCUCCGUGAUCU